rnacentral:rRNA from 1 species
UACGUAGGGGGCUAGCGUUGUCCGGAAUCAUUGGGCGUAAAGAGCGUGUAGGCGGCCCGGUAAGUCCGCUGUAAAAGUCAAAGGCUCAACCUUUGAAUGUCAGUGGAUACUGCCGGGCUAGAGUCCGGAAGAGGCGAGUGGAACUCCUGGUGCAGCGGUGGAAUGCGCAGAUAUCAGGAAGAACACCAACGGCGAAGGCAGCUCGCUGGGACGGUACUGACGCUGAGACGCGAAAGCGUGGGGAGCGAACAGG